AACUUAAGAACAAACCUACAGUCCCUAUCUUGUACGUACCCCAGGGACUGCCUGUAGCUGGGUGGUCACUGUAAACUAAAGCUGCUGCUUGGGCACUUAAUGCUUUUGGUUUUUUUAGUUUUGUUUAACUAUAAAUAAAUAAAACUAAAUAGCUGUCAAGACUCCUUAGAACUCUAGGUAUUGUAUCAUAUGAAAAACAUGGUGUUACUUUUUCAGAUGUGAGCUAACAGCUUUCUCCCUCACAAAAACCUUCUGACUUUAGACUUUUCCACUUGCACGCCUACUAAUAUUAACUUUGAAUUACUACAGGUUCAACGUCGCUGGACUAGCACCCUUGGAAUGUGACUGGUCCUUAACAGAGGAGGUCUACUUGUCCCCUCUGCUGCUGGCUUCUAAGCUCUCCUGGGGGGCUGUCAGCCUCCAGGCUGCAGAACCCCACUCCCAGGCUCCCCUUAUGGUCACCAAUCUUGCUACCAGUCCCUGCCCCUGGGCUGCCGGCCCAGAUCUGCUCCCAGCCCCAUUCGGGCCCCUGGAUUCCCAGUUGGCCCCUGCUCCCAGCUGCCAGGGCUCUUUGGUCCAGGAACUCUGACAGACCACGGGUGUUGCUGGCCCAGAGAUUCAACCUGUAUUUAUUUUGCAGUUUAAACUCAAAGGAUCUAAUCAGACCAGAAGGCAUCUUAUGCCAGGUGUCAUAUAAACAGGCAAUUUUUAAAAGUAAAUUCAUGUAAGUGACAUAGGUUCCUAAGUCCCAUUUCAAAGUGAUUUAGGCACUUACAGGAAAAAAUCUCAUUUGAGUCAUUAAGACAUAAGCUCAUAGAUCUCUCUUGUAAAUGGAACUUAGGUCCUCUUUCAAAUUUUUACUUGACGUCUUAUUAGAUAGGAGCCUAAAUAGGGAUAAGAUGACAGUUUGAAGACUUGAAUACCAUGAAGGAAAGGAGCUAAGUAUAUGAUUUGGAGACUAAAGGGUUUUUUUUAACAUUGGUACGAGAGAUGUUUGAAUCACUAACAGGCCACCCUUAUUAGUAACUGAAUGUGUUGGUACUAUGCAACUAUUUCUUUGUACUGGUUGUAAGAUUCAGUGUCUACUAACAUUUUAAAAAAAUGCAGACACAGAUGCCCUAGUCUAUAUUGUCAGUAGACAGCUAGUUUUAGGUCUUAAAAUUAUCCUGCUUUCACAGUUGUACCAUAUGGUUGGUCUUGUCUCAAGGAUUCUAGUCACACUCUUCUUGUUUGUAGUCACAUCUGAUGCUGCAAUAAACUGAGAACCUCAGACUUAGUGUUCAUCUUCUUCUGAACAAACCAGUAUCUAUACAUCCGCUAUCACAGAAAGAUUUAAUGGGUUUGUUUGCAAUAAAUUUGGCAGGCAUUUUUUCCCUCUAAUUGCAACCCAUAAGAGUUAGGGGAGAUUCAUGUGAAUGUCUGGGGGCAGAAUUCAUCAAAAAUUUCCUGUAAUUCUUAAAAAAAUAAUUUCAAAGUUCAAACUCAUUAAGGCCUCUUUGUGAAUCCUUUACUCCCUGGAAAUUGAUAAUAGGUAGCCUGAGUGAUUUUUUUUAACAGAUUACUCAGUAGAAUUUAGGAAAUUUAAAAUCAAUCCAUUUUCCAGAUUUCAAUUAAUUAUUGAGCGCCUUAUAAUCUUGUGUGAGACAGAGAAAUGCAACUAUGUCACUGACAAUCAUUUGUGUCAUAAAAUAUAGCUGGUGACCUGACAAUGCUAAGCCUGGGCUGAUGUCACUUUUACAUUUAUACCUACCUAUCAUUCAGAUGAAAGAGCAAAGCAGGGCAGCACAUGGAGUUCUAGCAAUUUGUGCAUAUGUGUUCUAAGAAGUUGUGAUUUGCAGAAUGCAGGAGGUGUGGAACUGUCUGCACUGGCAACUCAGCAAAAUGCUAUUGGUUCUGUGUGCAUGGAUCUGCACAGCCCUGGAGUGGAAAAUUUGCUAAUAUCCAGGGUGAAAGCUGCCCCAAGGACAAAAGAUUGGAUAGGAAUGGGGAGUCCAGAUUACAACAAAGAAGGGGCACUGCAAGAGCUGUUUUCCCUCUCUGGAUUACAAUAAACAUAUAUUGAUUUAUGCUAAGAUGUGCAGUGAUGUCUGGAGAUGAUGAUGAUGAUGUUCUGGAAAUAUCACAAAACACAUACCUGACCCUGAAGCUAAACAAAUACAAUCAAAAGGAAAAAAAUCAAUCCAUCCAUUCUUUGACAUGACUAUCUCUUGCUUGAGUUAAACACAUAAAUGAAAAAAGAUUAAAGGAUAUGGGUAUGUA